AAAUAUGCUAUCUAGUCAUAUCAUGUGAUCUUAGUUGUCACGUGACAAAUCUGGAAGUUCAUUGAAGGUUACACACGUUUUCCAUUGUCUGGACAGUUCGGUACUUCUACCUUCUCAAUUCUUUAAACGUUUAUGCCUUUGGUAGCAUCGUCGUCCAAAAUUCAGGAGAGGAGGCGAAGACGGUUGCCCAACGAGCCACCUCUGGGGAGGAGGCAGAGAUGGUGUCGGCAUCGAAUGGGGCGACAUCGAGUGGAGCCAGGACGACUGGAUCUGCUGGAACCCUGACCCAUUCCAGACCCAGGGGGAAUGGCGGACUGGAGGCCUACCUCAGUAGCCUUGAGGACCAGGCUUGGUGCUACCUCUGCACGGAGUUCGAGCACAAGGUGGCAUGCUGCCCCUUCCAAGAGGAAGAGGAUGACCUGUCUGCCCCGAAGCAAAAGAAGAAGAGGAGCGGCCAUCCCCGGAGGCGUGCGAGGGAAUGGGUGCCAGACCCAGCGCCAAAGGGAAUGCCCAGCAGCGUCGCCAGCACAGGAGGACCCAACAGUGUUGCACUGUAAAUGUACAGUAUAUAUAUAUAUAUAACAGUAUUAAAAUAGGUAAAAUGAAGACGGAACAGAUUGCAUUGUACAGAUGACGUUUACAUUUAACAAAAACAAUGUUAUUUUGAUUCUUUCACCCUUGCAUAUAUAGACCUUAACCUUUGGGCACUCUCUGCUGCAGCAAACCACAACUGAACUGCCGCUAUUUUAUAUGAAAAAAUGUUGCACAACUCUCGCUAGAGCUCUCGCUAAGAUGACGCAAAUAAUAUUUAAAUUAGUAUAUUGCGGCUCUCUUCAUUAACAUAUUUUUUCUUAGUACAUACGACAAAAUGUGCACUUUGCGAAUUGUCCUAACCAAAAUGCAAAUUGCGGUAUGUUUGCGCUGCGACUGGCCUAUCUUAGUACAUCUACCCUUAAGUGUUCGGCCGACGGGACGUUCGCCCCUGAGAUGGGGGCUCUGUAACGGGCUGCACUGACUCACUGUCACCACCUGUUGGCUAUUGAGUGCCGUGCCCAGAGCCGACAUUCUACAAACAUGUUAAUGAGCAGCAGAGGACGCUGGGAGUGGGGAAAUAUGAUAGGGGAAAGCUGUAUUAUUGUUGUGUUUAUUAGUUAUUGUGAAGUUCCAAAUAUUGUUGAAUGUAUCACCCUGUCAUUGUUGAAACCCUUCCUGUGUUAUUUGUGCAAUAUAUGAAUGUCACCUUGAGAGGCGGAGUAGUGCUCUGGGGUGGGGGAAGGGCUGUCUAUGUGUAUAUGGGACUUUGUGGAUAGUAUUGACUUGCUGUUAGCUGCUUAAUAAAACCGCAUUGUAUUUGAGAUCCUUGGUGUGUGUCUCCAGUGAUCCCUGUGCAUGCUACAAUAUAUACUAUAUAUGUAGGCUUACGUGUACUGUUUUGUAUUGUUACAUUUGUAAUUUUUUCUCUAUUUCUUUUUGCCUUCACUUAAAUAUACAAUAUAGGCUACACCGUCAUAAUGUGAAACCAGGUUGUUGUUUUUGUUAUUAUUAUUAUUAUUAUUAUUAUUAUUAUUAUUAUUAUUAUUAUUAUUAUUAUUAUAUGCGUGCUUGUAGCUUAUUCGUUUGUGACCAAUGGGUUUUUUCUGAAUAUUCAUCAGGUGAGAUCUGCCCUGACUAGCAUUUCAUGUUCUCCAAAUUGAGACCGAUUGCGCAGUUGUUUUACAAAAAAGGUACAUUUUGUUACGGUAUACUGCCAUUAUGUCCAAGUUUAAACAACCUCCAAGGAAAUUUAAUUUAAUUUAAUUUAAUUCACCUUUGACAUGUAAACCUGGAUUAAAAUGAGUGGUUCAAUAUAAUUAUAUUUAAUCUUUUAUGUCGAAGAAAUGUUUAACCUUGGAUUAAAUUAAAACAUUUAAAACAUUUUAAUUAAUUUUAAUCUGGGUUAGUGGUUAAUCCACAUUGGUGCGUUCGACUCUAAGUCUCAUUAAAAUCCCAGGGCCCCUGUUUAAGAAGUAUCUCAAAGUGUUUUGUAUUCUGCUUGCAGAUUUUUCAACCAUUCAGGUCUUUCAUUGGAAGCUAAAUGAGGCUACACAAUUGAGAGGUCGGCUAUAGGAAAGAUCACUUUUACUUUCUACAUAGACUGAUCUCAUUGUAUUUAUUUUGUAGGUGUCUGAUUAGUGGCUUCCUUCUAUAAAAAUGAUUUGGCUAUUAAUUACACAACGCAUUCAGAGAUCCAACCAGUGCAUUGCUUUAAAUAUUUUUGAGCCAAUCAAAUAAAUGUAUAACCACACAAUGCACGUUCUGUUUUACAUUUAAUCUAUGCUGAAGCACCAAAUGCCUCUUCAGGAUUUACAAGUCAGACAGACAGAGUCAUCCACCAUUUUCUCUGUCUCUGGAAAGUGAUUUAUUUAGAGUCAAUUAUUUGUCUACACAAGAAAAAAAGAAUUAGAAACGUUAAGGGAUGAAAUUAGAAAAAGGCUGUACUUGUUUAUGACAAACACCAAAGCCAGUAGGUGUAACCGGAAAGGGUUGUAUCUGCUGAGUAAAAACCAAGAUGAGCAUAAUGAUCACAUCACAUUGUCUUAGCACUUGACAGCUUAGAAAAAAGAAAUCAUUAAUCUUCUAAGCUUUCUGACUUUUCCAGGACUAUAAAACCAUCUCCUCCUGAUGUAAGAUUUUGUCUUUUGAGUGAGAGUGCAUCUAUCUACUUUUAUAGAUGAUACAUUUGGAACACAAAUGCCAAGAUCUUCCUUCUCCAAAAAGCCCUCUUUUGUCUUUUAGGCUGUCAGCUAAAAAAAAAAAGUAUACUCAGGUGUAUUUAUUUAAAAAGGUUAAGCUGUGUUGCAAAUACCUCUAAGGCUUCACCCACAGCAAAGGGAUGUCAACAGUGUGCCAAUUGGUUUAGCACAGAUUAGUCUCCUGUCAGACAUUAGCAAACCUAGGUUUGUUGCUACAGGUAAAUAUACCCAAGUAUAGUUUACGAGCUAGUCUUGCACUAAUUUACAAGUGCCUUGGAGAAGGUCCUGAGUUGGCCGGUCAGUAUUUAGCUACAGCGGCCCUAUGGCAUGGAAUAGCCUGGACCAGAGUAUCUGGGGAUAUGAUAGAGCAUCAGAUAAAUAACCCAAAUGUAUUAGCUAAACAAAGAAUAAUGACUGAUUACAUUUAUAUUAAUGUGUAGGUUCCAAGAAUUAUCGAAGUGUAAAUGUUUCUGAUCUCAGCUUGAAUGUAUGAUGAGAUUGUCUUUUAGAGUGAUGUUGUUUUUAAUGAAUGUGAAAUUACUGCUGUCUGUUUCUGGUCAUCUUGCCAGAAAUAAAUAAUUACAUUAUGCAGACAAUGUCCUUGUAGUACAGCCUUCAUUAAACAUAUUUUGAAAACUAUGCACAGUAUAAACACUUACCAAAAUAA